UUUCCAGACUCCUACGGGAGGCAGCAGUGAGGAAUAUUGGUCAAUGGCCGGAAGGCUGAACCAGCCAAGCCGCGUGAAGGACGAAGGUGCCAAGCAUUGUAAACUUCUUUUGUCAAGGGACAAAAUCAGGCUCGAGAGCCUGACCGAGGGUACUUGAAGAAAAAGCAUCGGCUAACUCCGUGCCAGCAGCCGCGGUAAUACGGAGGAUGCGAGCGUUAUCCGGAUUUAUUGGGUUUAAAGGGUGCGCAGGCGGUCUGUUAAGUCAGCGGUCAAAUGUCGGGGCUCAACCCCGGCCUGCCGUUGAAACUGGCGGCCUCGAGUGGGCGAGAAGUAUGCGGAAUGCGUUGUGUAGCGGUGAAAUGCAUAGAUAUCACGCAGAACUCCGAUUGCGAAGGCAGCAUACCGGCGCCCGACUGACGCUGAGGCACGAAAGCGUGGGUAUCGAACAGGAUUAGAUACCCCGGUA
rnacentral:rRNA from 1 species